rnacentral:misc_RNA from 1 species
GAUGAAGAACGUAGCGAAAUGCGAUAAGUAAUGUGAAUUGCAGAAUUCAGUGAAUCAUCGAAUCUUUGAACGCACCUUGCGCCCUUUGGCCAUUCCGAAGGGCAUGCCUGUUUGAGUAUCAUGAACACCUCAACUCUUUAUGGUUUUCCAUGAUGAGCUUGGACUCUGGGGGUUUUGCUGGCUCACAGUCGGCUCCUCUAAAAUGAAUCAGCUUACCAGUGUUUGGUGGGUAUCAUGGGUGUGAUAACUAUCUACGCUUGUGGUUUUUCCACCAGGUAACCUUCAGCAGUGGAGGUUCGCUGGAGCUCAUAGAUGUCUCUCCUCAGUGAGGACAGCCCUUUGAAUGUUUGAGCUCAAAUCAGGUAGGACUACCCGCUGAACUUAAGCAUAUCAAUAAGCGGAGGA